rnacentral:rRNA from 1 species
UACGGGGGGGGCAAGCGUUGCUCGGAAUUACUGGGCGUAAAGGGCUCGUAGGCGGUCAACUAAGUCAGACGUGAAAUCCCUCGGCUUAACCGGGGAACUGCGUCUGAUACUGGAUGGCUUGAGUUUGGGAGAGGGAUGCGGAAUUCCAGGUGUAGCGGUGAAAUGCGUAGAUAUCUGGAGGAACACCGGUGGCGAAGGCGGCAUCCUGGACCAACACUGACGCUGAGGAGCGAAAGCCAGGGGAGCAAACGGG